GAACACAAAAUGGCGACACGUGGUUAGCAUUCGUCGCCAACGAGAAAUUGGGGUCGGCCCGAAAGCUCUAGAAUGCACCCCCCUUCUUCCCCGGGGCCUUCCACCUCCGCGAGUUUUAUGACUUAAAAAACCCCACAGGCUGGUCUGAAGACUUCCUAGCAUGGGCUGUUGUGCUGGAGAGAACGAGAGCUACGAAGAGACUACAAUGCCUCUGACUUUUUCAUAGGACAGUUGGCCGAGGAAGACAAACAUAAAGAUGAAGUGCUUAAUUCAAGGUCACACAAUGUCGGGGAUGGACCUCCAGAUUUCCUUACUGGAAAACAAGCUCAGGGCUCCCACUGAUUGUACAUUAUGAGACGGAGUCUUGCUAUGUUGCCCAGGCUGGUCUUGAACUCCUCACCUCAAGCGAUCCUCUCGUCUUGGCCUCCCAAGUGUCAGGAUUACAGGCAUGUGCUAUCACACCCAACCUGAUACAUUGCCUUUAUAAAUUUUUUUUUCUUUAUUCUAAAAACCAGAAAAAACAAAACUGGAUACAUGUGCAGAACAUGCAGGUUUGUUACAUAGCUGUACGUGUGCCAUGGUGGUUUGCUGCACCUAUUGACCUAUCCUGUAAGUUCCCUCCCCUCACCCCCACCCCCCAACAGCCCU
rnacentral:antisense_RNA from 1 species